UACGUAGGUGGCGAGCGUUGUCCGGAAUUACUGGGCGUAAAGGAUGCGUAGGUGGAUAUUUAAGUGGGAUGUGAAAUCCCCGGGCUCAACCCGGGAACUGCAUUCCAAACUGGGUAUCUAGAGUGCAGGAGAGGAAAGCGGAAUUCCUAGUGUAGCGGUGAAAUGCGUAGAUAUUAGGAGGAACACCAGUGGCGAAGGCGGCUUUCUGGACUGUAACUGACACUGAGGCAUGAAAGCGUGGGUAGCAAACAGGAUUAGAUACCCUGGUAGU
rnacentral:rRNA from 1 species